rnacentral:RNase_MRP_RNA from 1 species
GUUCGCGCUGAAGGCCUGUUGCCUAGGCUACAGACGGAGGACUCGGUUCCUCAUUUGCGCCUAGGGGAAAGUCCCCGGACCGCGGGCAGAGAGUGCCGCGUGCGCAUGCGCGUAGACCUCCCCCGCUUCUCCUUGUCAAUCCGCCAAGAAGCGAACCCGUUAGGCGGGGGAGCCGAGCGGUGUGCGGCGGGGUCGUCAUCCGUCAUCUCCUCUAGUUACGCAGGCGGUGCGUCUCUGCGCACUAACCACACGGGGCUCAUUCUCAGCGCGGC